GAUGAACGCUGGCGGCGUGCCUAAUACAUGCAAGUCGAGCGAACAGAUGAGGAGCUUGCUCCUCUGACGUUAGCGGCGGACGGGUGAGUAACACGUGGAUAACCUACCUAUAAGACUGGGAUAACUUCGGGAAACCGGAGCUAAUACCGGAUAAUAUAUUGAACCGCAUGGUUCAAUAGUGAAAGACGGUUUUGCCGUCACUUAUAGAUGGAUCCGCGCCGCAUUAGCUAGUUGGUAAGGUAACGGCUUACCACGGGAACGUUGCGUAGCCGACCUGAGAGGGUGAGCAGCCACACUGGGACUGAGACCCGGUCCAGAGUCCUACGGGAGGCAGCCGUAGGGAUUCUUCCGGAAUGGGCGAAAGCCAGACGGAGCAACGCCGCGUGAGUGAUGAAGGUCUUCGGAUCGUAAAUCUCUGUUAUUAGGGAAGAACAAAUGUGUAAGUAACUAUGCACGUCUUGACGGUACCUAAGCAGAAAGCCACGGCUAACUACGUG
rnacentral:rRNA from 1 species